rnacentral:tRNA from 1 species
UGGCUGAGCGGUAAAGCGCUUGGCUUCCGAGCCAGGGGUCCCGGGUUAGAAUCCUGG